rnacentral:rRNA from 1 species
GACACGACUCGCAGAGUGGAACAGCUAAUGAAACAUAGUAAUUUUUUAAAAUUCAUGAUGUCGUAAGGGAAAAUAAUGAUAAUACCUUACUAUGAGUGUCGUCCAAAUCUGGUGCCAGAAGACUCGGUAAGACCAGAGACGCAAACGUUAAUCAUCAUAAACAGGCGUAAAGGGUUUGUAGGCAGCUUUCACCAAACUAUGAUUACAAAAUAAAGUAGUUUAAUUGAAAGCUAGAAUCAAAAAGAGGUUAUAGUGUAUAACGCCUAGAGGAGGGCUGAUAUCCAUAGAUCCUAGGCAGAAUACUCAGGGCGAAGGCCACUCUCCACUACUGAUUGACGCUGAGAAACGAAGGUUAGGGUAGGAAAUAGGAUUAGAUACCCCGGUACUCCUUUCUGUAAACGAUGAAUGGUAGUCAUUAGUUUUAUAACUAGAGACGAAGUUAACACAAUAACCAUUCCGCCUUGUGAGUACUACUGCAAAGUAGAAAACAAAAAAAUUAGUCGGUCUCGAAGCAAACGGAGUGAAGCAUGUUAUUUAAUUCGAUAAUCCGC